rnacentral:rRNA from 1 species
GCUGAUCCCUCCCUCUUGACGAACUGUGAUGCCAUUAAUUUGGUGUCGCAGGGAAUCAGGACUGUUACUUUGAAAAAAUUAGAGUGUUUAAAGCAGGCUUUCGCUUGAAUACAUUAGCAUGGAAUAAUGAAAUAGGACGUUUGAUCCUAUUUUGUUGGUUUCUAGGAUUGACGUAAUGAUUAAUAGGGAUAGUUGGGGGCAUUAGUAUUCAAUUGUCAGAGGUGAAAUUCUUGGAUUUAUUGAAGACUAACUACUGCGAAAGCAUUUGCCAAGGAUGUUUUCAUUAAUCAAGAACGAAAGUUAGGGGAUCGAAGACGAUCAGAUACCGUCGUAGUCUUAACCAUAAACUAUGACGACUAGGGAUCGGAUGAUGUUAAUUUUUUAAUGACUCAUUCGGCGCCUUACG